AGCUCGGUGGUGUAUCGGCAGCAUGUCGCUCUGAUAAGGCGGCGGUGAUGGUUCAAUUCCAUCCCGAGCUA
rnacentral:tRNA from 1 species